UACGGGGGGGGCAAGCGUUGUUCGGAAUUACUGGGCGUAAAGGGCUCGUAGGUGGCCAACUAAGUCAUACGUGAAAUCCCUCGGCUUAACCGGGGAACUGCGUCUGAUACUGGAUGGCUUGAGGUUGGGAGAGGGAUGCGGAAUUCCAGGUGUAGAGGUGAAAUUCGUAGAUAUUCGCAAGAACACCAGUGGCGAAGGCGGCUCACUGGCCCGAUACUGACGCUGAGGCACGAAAGCGUGGGGAGCAAACAGG
rnacentral:rRNA from 1 species